CUGUCCCUUGGAUGAAUUAUUCGUGUCACCCUCUCUCUUUCUCUCUAUAAGCCCCAGCCACCGAGUUCAAAAAUCCCUUGGACAAACCCUUUUCUUUCUUCUCUCUGCAUCUUUCUUAGAUCUUCUUCUUCAACUUUCUUAGAUCUUCUUCUUCAACAACAACAACAACACUUGGUGUGUGUGGCAUGACUCAUAUGAGAUGAAGAAGAAAGAAGCACACUCCUCCAAUCUCACAUUCCUCCUCUUGGUCACACUCUUCUUAUGUGCCAAUGGUUCCUCUCUCACGCUCACCCACCCACGCCACGUUCUCUCCUACAGGGACGAGUUUGGCGACAGAGGAGAGAAUGUGAGCGUAGACCCUUCCCUUGUUUUCCAAAAUAACCGUCUCAGAGACGCUUACAUUGCCUUGCAAGCUUGGAAGCUAGCCAUUUUAUCUGAUCCCCAAAACCAGACAACCGACUGGGUAGGAUCCCAAGUUUGUACCUACACCGGAGUUUACUGUGCACCCGCGCUCGACAACCCCUCCAUCCAAACGGUGGCCGGCAUUGAUCUCAACCAUCGCGACAUUGCCGGCUACUUACCGGAGGAGCUCGGUUUGCUCGUAGAUCUUGCACUCUUCCACAUCAACUCCAACAGAUUCUGCGGCACUGUGCCCCACACCUUCCACAAGUUGAUACUCCUCCACGAGCUGGAUCUCAGUAACAACCGCUUCGCCGGGAGCUUCCCCGAGGUGGUUCUGCACCUUCCUUCGCUCAAGUUCUUGGAUCUCAGGUUCAACGAAUUCGAAGGAACUGUGCCCAGGGAAUUGUUCGAUAAAGAUCUCGACGCCAUUUUCAUCAACGACAAUCGUUUCGUCUUUGAUCUUCCCGACAACUUCGGCAACUCCCCCGUGUCCGUCAUCGUCCUCGCCAACAAUAGGUUCCAUGGCUGCAUUCCGCACAGCCUCGGCAACAUGUCCAACCUCAACGAGAUCAUUCUCAUGAACAACGAAUUCCGCUCCUGCUUGCCCUCCGAGAUAGGCUUGUUGAAGAACCUCACGGUGUUCGACGUCAGCUUUAACCAACUUCUUGGUCCUUUACCCACGGCCGUUGGAAACGCCGUCAGCUUGGAGCAGCUCAACGUGGCCCACAACUUGCUCUCCGGUCAAAUUCCUCCUAGUAUUUGUAUGUUGCCUCAUCUCCUCAACUUCACUUACUCCUCUAACUUCUUCACCGGCGAACCUCCCGCCUGCCUCGCCUUGCCGGCGUUUGACGAUAGACUCAACUGCUUGCCGGCGAGGCCCGUUCAGAGGCCUCCGGCGCAAUGUCAGGCUUUCUUGUCUAAGCCUGUCGAUUGUAACUCCUUUAACUGCAAAUCGUUUGUUCCUUCACCAACAUCACCUUCACCUGUAACUCCUUCACCUCCAUCACCUGGUACACCUUCACCUAUAACUCCUUCGCCGUUACCUUCGCCUUCAUCGCCACCUUCACCUGUAACUCCUUCACCCCCAUCACCUGGUACACCUUCACCCGGAACUCCUUCACCUCCAUCACCUGGGACUCCUUCGCAUCCAUCACCUGGGACACCUUCACCUGUAACUCCUUCGCCUUCAUCGCCUCCUUCACCUGCUACUCCUUCACCAUUACCUUCACCUACAACACCUUCACCACUGCCUACACCUCCAGCGCCUGCAACACAUCCUUCGCCACCGAACCCACUGGUACCUACACCUCCUUCGGAACCACCGGUGGUCGGACAUUCCCCUCCACCAGGACCGGUGGCACCUUCCCCACUACCACCCGUUCAUACUCCUCCUUCUCCGGUGUAUUUGCCACCACCACAUUCUUCCCCUGCUCCACCUGUCUACUCUCCACAACCUCCAACACCUUCACAUUUGCCGCCUCCGUCAUAUACUCCACCUUCUCCUUCACCUUCUCCAACGCCACCCUAUGUUACCCACCCUCCGCCGCCGCCGGCCCCAACCUUCUCGACACCACCACCUUCACAUGAUUACGGCUCAUCGCCACCUCCAACACCUCAUCACUCACCCUCACCUCAUGCAUAUCCUUAUUUAUCACCCCCACCACCUUCUCCUGUUCAUUUUCCACCUCCACCACCUUGUACAGAACUUCCUCCACCCCCUCCUCAAUCAACACCUUCUCCCACACCUUACCUUCCACCACCAUCCCCAUCUCACACACCUUAUCACCCACCACCAUCCCCUUCUAACACUCCUUAUCACCCAUCACCAUCCCAUUCUCCCCCUCCCCCUCCACCGCUUCAAUACAGUUCGCCGCCGCCGCCGCCGGCAUCUCCGCCACCCGUUUCUCCACCGCCACCUGUUGUGUACCAAAACCCACCACCUGCCCCUGUAUAUGAAGGGCCAUUGCCACCCAUCGUUGGACUCCCAUACGCAUCGCCUCCACCACCACCCUUUUAUUGAUUCUUUUGAGGACUUUUUUCCUCUACCAGCAACAAGAGUCACGCUUUUUUUUAUUUUAAUGCGGCCGUUUCUUCUGUGGAGAUAUAUCCCUCCAAUGUCAUGCGACUCUCGUCGCUUACGAAGGAAACUUCUUACGAGACAAGCACAAGAUUUAGGGAAACAGCUUUUUGUUCUUUAUAUUUAUCGAUAAAAGAACCAAAGAAGACGUUGCGGCAAAACGGGGUUUAUAAGAGGAGAAAUUCUCUCUCCUUAUUAACUUGAAUUGUUAUGAAUAUUGCAGUUGAGAAAUAAGAAUGGCAGAGAAAGUGUAGGUUGCAGAGCAAAUGUAUGUAUAGGGAUGAAUGGGAGAGCUUAAGUUAUGGCUGCAAAGGCAGUAGCAGUUGCGCUUUCUGCCGCCGCCGAUGGUUACUACUGUAUUGUUAUUGUCUCUAUUAAAUCAUACUACUUUUUUUUUAUAUAUAAAUUUUGCCAAUUAAGUUGAUUUUCUAAAUUCGCUUUCUCUUAUCUGAGUCUUAAAUCUGUUGCGGUCAUGAGAUCAUUGAAUUGAAUGUUUUUAAUUAGACUGUCAAUAUCAAUCUUCAUUAAUGAAUAAUGAUAACGAUACCAUUAUGUUAUGAAAAUUUAUGCUGCUUAUAACCAAACAUCUUAAUGAUAAGCCUUUGAUAUAAAUAUUCCCUUUUCCUCCAUCGCCCUUUAUGCUUCUUUCUCUUCCACCAUUGAGAGUGAUUAUGAAUCUAACCUGUUUUUGUACAUUCCAGCAUUGUUUAAGAGCUUUCACUUUCAACUUCAUUAGUGUUGGUGUUGUUUAAGAACAAUGUAGCAUAUUGUUCUUAAGGAACAGUCCCCAAUCGCCCACGGAGGCCACCAUGAGAGAACACAGGUCCCAAUCCAGAUUCCGGUGGUGGGGCAAAUAGUUAGUGAAUCCCAAGAACCAUUAAAGAGCUAGGGUCAAUGUAUUUAAUGAAACAAAUCCUUUCUUAAAUUUGUUUGAUUAAAAGAAUAGGAGUAUUGUUAAGGGAACAAACUCCACGUGCAAACCUUCUUGGUUUUGAGAUUUGAAUUCAAAUUUGCACACCAUCUUCAGCAUUGGAUCGUGAACAUCAAAACUGGAAGCUCAACAACUGCCCGAAAACUCUUCUUUUUCUCAUCCAAGGCAUUGGGGCACUCCAAUGCAACCUUGUCGGUCAUCAAUGGUCACUCUGUGUCUAUUUCCUGAGGCUAUCUGUUGCUUUUCCUUUUAAAGUUUUAUAAUCAAGUUACGAAAAAAAUGGUAAAAUUCCUACAUAUAUGCAUAAUAGUCAAGUAAUAAAAUCAAAGUCAUGCAUCAGUUGCAUGUGUUUGGGAUGUGUCCAAACUGGGAUCAAUGCUUGCUUCUUGCCAAGUUCCUUCGGAGAAUAUAAUUAGCACAACGUCACCCAGUUUUCACGUGAACCUUUUUCCACUUUCCAUGGUGCCUUGUAGUAUAUCUUUGUUCCUUUGUUUUUACUUGCAGCAGAAUCACGAAAAUGAACAGAAUAAAGCAACGUUUCCUUCAAAUUAGGGAAAAGGAGAAGUGGAAUCUACAAACAAUGUUUGCACGUAAGAGAACAACGUGCUUACUCUGUUGGUAUCUGCGCUCUAACACAUACACACACAUAGAAAAAUAGUCCAUGGAUUAGUAAAAGGAUUUUGGACAUUCAUCUAAUUCCAGAUUUUUAUGAAUGGUAAAUCUUAAAUUAACAUUUGCUGUCACCAAUAUAUAGGAAUUCUUAAAGCACUGGAUAAUUUUUUGAUUCAAUAAUUUGAUCAUAAAUUUUACGGUUAGAAGAGAAGGUGAUAUGAUAUCAAUCAUUGAGAUUGGAUUCACUGGAUCCUUUUUGGAGGACACAGCAUUAUUGUAUUCAGUAAUUAAUGCAUGUACCAUACGAUAGGUAAAACCGUGAAAAGCAUUUAAUAAUUUGGAUAUGGUCUGCAUAGAGAGAUGAGUAGUGUGGGUCAUUUUUCUGAAUAACAAAUAGCAUAGCAAGCAAUAUGAAAGUUCCAUACACCUUUCUAGCUUUAAACAUUUUAAUUGUCCCUUCGUAUUGGGGUUGAGAAAGAAAACAUAGAAGCAUGGACCUUUUGCAUAAACUUGCUAGGUACCCUUGGAUUAAAGGAAAUUUGGAAAAGAAACAAGGGAAGCAGGGCAUAUCCCACCUUCAAAGGGACAGUGGCCUUUAUUGUGUGAGGGUCCCUCCGUACAUAAAUAUUCACAUGGCUUCUUGUAAGGGCUUCAGACACCCAACAUGCAAUCAUGAUAAUCAAAAGAUUGAUGUUCCAAGUUGCCUUACUUUCCCUAUUAAUCUAUUAAUUACCUCUACUGGAUCCGACAUAACUACCAUUCAGUUAAGCCUCUAAAACCAAACUACGGCUUUUAGUUACAGAAUCACAUUUUUCUUUUAUAAUCACGAGUUACAAUCAAUCUCACACUGUUAAUCAACUUUUUAAGUAAACUGCUAUUUUUAAUUGCAAUUUCAUGUUUAAGUUGGUGAUCAAAUUUCAUAUACCUUGUAGCCAAGAAAAAAAGAUGAUUCUAGUUAGAGUAUACAGCUAAAUACAUGAAUUCCAACUCAAAUUGUUAUUUGUCUCAUUCAAUCAUACAUUGGUAUGCUAAAUUUUUGUCUUGUUUAUUAUUUUUUUUGGUAGUAUUAAACAUUAUCUUGUCAUUUAGACUAAUUUUCAUAAUCAUCACCUCUUUAAUAAAGGAGAUUAAUUAUUAAUAGAUUUUAUCUCAUGAUAAGUAUCUGAACUACUUAUACCAAAUAAUCGGAUUGAGCCCAUGACAACACAGUCUCUUAACUUCAGAUAAAUGCCAAUGAAACUAAGUAUAAAUUCUUUGUCCUAAUAAAAUUGAUCAACAUUUAUAAUCGGUAUCUUCAGAAAGUUGAGUAUCCAUAACAUCAUAAUACAUAGAAUGCAAUUUUAGACUUAAGUUGGGAUUGUUAGCAUAUAAAUAAAGAUGAGAAUGUUUUGAAAAGUGGUUUGGUAGUUGAAUCAAUAAAGAAAUAUAGUUUAAGAUAAAUACAAGUAUUUAAUGUGUGCAUAAUUAUUUGGACUACGUUUAUAUCACAAAUACCUAACAUUUUUCAGUCCAUUCCUUUUUUCUAAGCACUAAAGAUAGAAAAAAAAAAUGUAGACCGGCUUAUUUAAUUCUUAUCACGUUGGCUCAAGUAAUAAAAAGAAAAGAUCAAAAAUAGAAAAAGGCCAACAUAAGUGUUUAACGAUUAUUAACCACAAAAACAUGGAUACAUUUGAUGAUUAUCCUCGUCACUACACCGUCAUUGCUAUUUCUAUUCCAUCAUUCUAUCGUAUUCUUAUCUUAUUCUAUCAAAUUUAAAGGGAAAAAAAAACACACAGUGCAUGUGGAAAAAAAUAAUCACUCAUCUCGGUCUACAAUAAAAAGAAAAGCCAUUAAAAAGCACGUCAUUAAUGGAUCUUUGAUUGGGUUGAUGUUAAGCCCAUUACUUUUCAUCGGAGAGUAUUUCUUUCUGUAACCCUACAUUUUUCUUUUUGCACUUCUAUAUAUAGAAAUAUCCAAAUUAUUCUUGACAAAAACACAGUGCAUGUGGAAAAAAAAUAAUCACUCAUCUCGGUUACAAUAAAAAAAAGCCAUUAAUGGAUCUUUGAUUGGGUUGAUGUCAAGCCCAUUACUUUUCAUCGGAGGGUAUUUCUUUCUGUAACCCUACAUUUUUCUUUUUGCACUUCUAUAUUUUUUGAAAUAUCCAAAUUAUUCUUAACAAUUUUGAGUGAUUUUAGGAUAAAGGGUAUUUUGUAAGCUAAAAAUGUUUCUAUAGUAGAAAAUCCAAAAGGACAAAAAAAACCAUUUUAAAAUAUUAUUUUUUAAACACAUUUUUUUAACUUCCAGAUGAUAAAUAAAAAAUUCAUAAAAUGUGUUCAGAAAAUAUUUGACAAACAGAAAUCUAGAACUCAUUUUUAAAAUGGGUAAAACAGUAUUUUUAGAAAAUGAUGAGGUGUAGGGAGAAGUUUGUUGUGGUACACGAAGAAAUUACAAAUCCUGGACAUGAAUCAAUAUGGGCUUGAUGGAUAACUGGUGAGCCUGUUAUGUAUCCAUAUGAGAAUUUCACUCGCUAGUAUUUUGACAUAAAACCAUAACACACAUGUGUUCUUCACAAAAGAAAAUAAAAAUAAUAAUAAAAAUAAAAAUACAAAAUGCAAAAAAUUGCAAAAUAUUUUUGUCCACCUAACUUCUUAGAGUGGUGAUAUGCUAACACCACAAACAAUAAAAACAUCCACUUCACAAACUAAUAAAAUAAUAUUUUAAUUAUAUCUAAUUUAUUUUUUAAUUUUAAAUAUUAUUAUAUUAUUAUAAUAUGGUGUCAAAUAUAUGUUUUUACUUGUGAAAGAAAUAUUUUCCAACCAUAAAAAACUUUUCCAACUUCUUAAUGUUCUCUCUUCUUCAUUCACACUUAUAAAAAGGAUAAAAACUCAACUUUAUUAUUGUUUCAAUUUAGGGUUUUAUUUUUGAAAAAAUCUAAGAGGCCUAGUCAAAGUAUUCAAAAAGUAAGUUUGUCCUUAUUGUAGGUUUAUGUCAGGGUUUUUAUCCACUUUUGUACAAUGCGAGUAGUUUUUGUUAAUCGUAUGAUCUAUUUUAAAUUUAUAUUAAAUUAAUUUGAGAUAUAAGAUUUUUUAAUUUGACAUAUUAAAUAUAAAAAUCAAAUGUACAAAUAAAAUAUAAAAUGUGAGAAACUGAAAAAAUAUACAACUAAUGAUAAAAAUUGUAAUUUAAAAUUGUUGAGAGAAUUUUUUCACCAAAAUACAAUAAAAAAAUAGUAUAUAUGUAGAGAGAACAUAGAAAGUAUAAAUUGAGUGAGUACAUACAGAGAAAACGAUUUUAUUUUAAAAUUAGAAGUAUAUUCUACUCUAUAAUAUAUAUAAAAAAAUAUUGUAGCUUUUCUAAUUUAAAAUUAAAUUAAAUAAUCACGAGAAGAUAAUAUAAAUGUUAGAGAAAUGAAUAUUUUAUUCUAUCAAAUUAUGCUUAUACACUCAUAACACAAUAUUAUCCUAAUCUAAAUGUCUUUAUAAAAAGUUAUACCUUUCGACCACAGUGACCCGUCAUAAUCACAAAAUAAUUUUUCUCAUGACAGAAACGAUAAUAAUUGAAGAGUCUUUAUUAAAAUAUGUUAAUUAGAAAGAAUGUUUAUUUUAAUUAUAACAUUUAUAAUUUUCUUAAUAACUCAGAGGUUAAUUAUGUGCAUGAUUAAAGAAUAUUUAAGAUAUUUUAUUAAUCUUUGUUUUGUUCUUAUUUGAUCGAAAAUAGAAAAAAGGGAAAGGCAAAACACUCAGAAAAAGUAUUCUUGGUUAAGUGAUUUUUCUUUUUAUCUUUUUCUUCUUUUGUUAGAAAGUGGUUUUCCCUUUUAAGAUCAUAUCCAUCUUUUAAUGAAAGGGAUGGAAAAAACACCCAAAACCCAAAAUCAAAUAAGAUUAAACACAAAUCUAUCUACAAAAUAACUUUUCUUACUUGAAAAUAACUUAUCAUACAAUAAAGAGUACCACAAUAUCUCCUAAAUUUCUAGAAUAUACAAAAAUUAUAUGAACUGAAUAUAAAUUUAUAAAUCAAAGAAUUACUAUUAUAUUCACUUAAUAUAAAAUUCAUAUUCCUAUGUUAAUUAAAAAUGUAAAUUUCUAAAGCUCGUACAUGAUAAGGAAAGAAAAAAAAAAUCAAUUAUAUACAAAAGCAAAAAACUUAUCCGAAUUAAGAUUCUCAUACUCCUUAUCACAUUUUAUACAGCACGAUUUGAUCCUAAAAAUAAUAGAUAAAUAAAAAGCUUUAAAACAAUGUAGAUAAUGUAUAAUUUAAAAUAAUUUGUUGUGAUAAACAACAAAUAUUUUAAAUAUAUUUGUUUCAAAAGACAUUUUUUUAAAGUUUAAAAUUAUUGAAGUCCAAUAAACCUGUGAAUCAUUUCCUCAACUUGACAACACGUACUAAUUAUGAGUUUGCACAUUUGUUGUCCUUCGAAUGUCUUUGCUUUAUUUAUUUAUAAAUAAUUUUCCUUUUUAAAAUUGUGGAAAAUAAGCUGGUUAAAUGACAAAGUGUUUUGUUUUUCACCUUUUUUUCUUCAUUAUUCAAUUACAGUCAAUAACGUGUGUUUGAUUUGCUAUUUUUAUUGCUUAAUUGUUUGCAGUGAAAUAAUAAUUAAAUUUAGUUGGAAAACGUGUCUCAUGACAAUGCAUUAGGCAUAAACAAACAGGUACUAAUAUCUUAAAACAAGAAAGUAAACAUAUAUUUCACAUUCCAAUAAACUAAUAUUUUAAUUAUAUUUAAUUUAUUUUUUUAUGUUAAAAAAUAGAUUUUAAGUCUAACUCAAUCCCAUAAAACCGGCUCAUGAGGUGAGGUUUGCACCCACUUAUAUACAAUGAAAUGUCCUGAUCUCUAGUCGAUGUGGAAUCUCCAACACACCUCUUACGCUGAGGUUACCAACUCGUGCGUGAAGAUAUGUGUUAUGGGUAGUCCGAUAACGGUCCGAUAACGGGUGACCUGAUAAGUCCAACAAAUACUAGUUAUAAUUGACUCGAAAGGACUCUGAUACCAUGUUAAUUGCAUAUAAUAAUUGCAUAUAAUUUUAUAAUUAUUAUUUCCUUAAUAUUUUAAUUUAUAAGUUUAUGUGUUUUAUUUUUUUUUAUGUUAAAGAAAUCUUUUCCCAAACAAAAGGUAACAAUAACCUUAUCAAAGAUAUCACUAUCAACACACACAAGAAGAAAUAAACAAAAACUAAAUUAUUCAUGCUGAAAAUCAUAAAUUUUACUAAUAACCAAGUAUAAUCUAAACGGAUAUAUAUCCUUAAGUCAAUUUCAACAUUAAAAAUAUUAUUAUAAGAUAUUGUCCCUUUUAAAACUAUAUAAAUUGUAUCAAAAUUUUCUCAAAUCUCACAUAUAUCUUACUUCAUAAAGCUGGUUGAUGAAAAAAAAACAUAAAAGACAAACUCAACUACCUUUCAAACAUGUAUGGUGCCAACAACUAUUUAAAGGGCAUUAUUGCUGAAAAUCAUGGUCGUAAGCAUGAAACCAUACUCUAAACAUAAAAGGUCUUCUUCCUACACCCAUUUAAUGUCUUCGUACAUAUUUGUGACAUGAUUCUGAAUUAUGAUCUUCAAACCACCAACCCCAUUUCAUCCCAUAAAUGUUUGCUCUGUGUUUUGUAAUAAUUGCACAGCUAUAAACAAUGAUUAGACUUAAAUAGUUAUAAUUAAAAUGAUUCAACAUUUUCUUUAAACUUAAAGAAGCUAAACUAGCUUAAAUAAUGGUUCCCACGUUUGGAUCUUUCAAUUUUUGUUCAAAGAUAAAGGUCAAACAAUAUCUGCUGAAAUAAAUACAAGGGAGAGGCUUUGACAUUUGUCCCUUACAUACUUAUAACUCAUCUCUAUUUAUAAGAGCUUUUUAAAAAACUAUUUAUCAUUUUGUAAAAGCUUUUGUAUUUUAAUUGAAUAAUGUAAUAUUGAUUUUUUAUUCUAGAAUAAUUUUAAUUAAAUAUUAAAAAUAUAUCUAAAUUCACAUGAACAAAAUAUAUCUAAAUUGAUUUCGCUUUUAGAAUUAUUGUUCAUUCAAUUAAAUAUUAAGGGUUUUAGAGGGAGGGAUGAAGAUCAUUUAAAAUAUUUUAAUUGUAAUGACUAAACAUCACCACUAAUGUCUUUAGUGUAACACUAUAAAGAUAAAUUUGUAUUUUAAAACUAAUUCCUUCUCAUGUGAAUCAAAGAAGAAAAAAUAUUACAUCUCUCUCUCCAUUGAAAUCUCUUCCAUCUUUCUUCAAUUGCUUAAUAAAAAAAAUUCAAAAUUUAAUAUUUUUAACUUUAAGUACAAGAGGAGAGAGAAAAUAUUUAGGUUUUGUAAAAUGCAUUUUCUUUGGAUGAGGGCAAAGAUGUGGCUCUCAUGGGGUACAAUGGAUGAAUAGAAGAGAAAUGUAAUACAAUCCUGAUUAUAAGUAACCCGUUGAUGUCAUUGCAAAUUUAAGAAAGAGACAAAACAUUAUAUUUUAAAAGAAAAACUCACGAAGAAAUUGAUUUUUUAAGAACUACUAUAUCAAAUUUACUAAUGAUCGGUAUCAAAAAAAUUUAUAGUUUUUAGAUUUUUGUUUAAAUAGGAUAUCAAAUAUUUUGGAUUUUUAUUUAUUUAAAAUUUGGAAUAUUUUAGGAAUUUAAUAUAUUUUUAAUUUUUAUUUAAAUAUAGGAUUUGUAUAUAUUUGGAAUUUUAAAUAUCUUUGAAAUUUUAUAUAUUUUAGUUUUUUUUAUAGAUAGGACAUUAAAUAUUUAAGAUUUCUAUUUAUUCAAGAUUUUGAAUAUUUUAAAAUUUAUAUAUAUUUAAGAUUUUUAUUUAAAUAGGACAUUAAAUAUUAUGAUUUGUAUUUAUUUAGGAUUUUGAAAAUUUUAAGAAUUUAUAUAUUUUAGAUUUUUAUUUAAAUAGAACAUUAAAAUUUUUGAUAUGUAUUUAUGUGGAAUUUUGAAUAGUUUAGGAAUUUUAUUGAAUAUAACCUUAAAUAAUUUAGGAUUUGUAUUUAUUUGAGAUUUUGAAUAUUUUAGAAAUUUUAUAUAUUUCAUAUUUUAAUUUAAGUAGGAUAUUAAAUAAUUUAAUAUUUGUAUUUAUUUAAGAUUUUAAAUAAUUUAGAAUUUAUAUUUAUUUUAGAUUUUGAAUAAUUUUGAGGUUUAUUUAUUUUAUAUUUUUAUAUAAAUAGAACAUUAAAUGAUUUAAGAUUUAUAUUUAUUUAAGAUUUUUGAAUAUUUCAAAAAUUUUAUGUAUUUAAAAUCUCUAUUUAAAUAGGACAUUAAAUAAUUUAGAAAUUAUAUUUAUUUAAAAUCUUGAAUAAUUUAGAAAUUUAUUUAUUUUUAUGUUUUUAUUUAAGUAAGACAUUCAAUAAUUUAGGAUUUGUAUUUAUUUUAGAUCUUAAAUAAUUUUAAAAUUCUAUUUAUUUCAGAUUUUUAUUUAAAUAGGACAUUAAAUAAUUUAUGAUUUGUAUUUAUUUAAAAAUUUAAAUAUUUUAGAAAUUUUAUAUAUUUUAGAUAAUUAUUAAAUAGAACUUUAAAUAAUUUUUUUGAGAAUCAUAAAUAUGUUCGGAAAGUUUCACAUAAUCCGUAUUUUUUUAUGAAUUUUAUUCUCACAUUACAAAAAUAAUAUUUUAAAUAAAAACAAUUAUUAUUAUAAAAUAAAAUAAAAUAAAUUUUCAACAAUUUUUAAAUUAAUUUUACAUUUAUCAAUUAAAAAAAUACAAUUUUAAAUCACAGUCUUAAACUUUUUCUAUAAUUUUUUAUUUAUUUAUCUUAAUCCAAAUAUUUACGAUUUCUUCACAUUUUUUCUUAAAAUAAUCUCAAAUCCACUUUCACAUACUCACUAAAUAAAAUUCGUCAACUAUUUUGGAAAGUAAUACAAAUACCACAAUGGUCAAUGCUACUAGAAUCGAUAAGGAAAAUACUGCAUCAUCAUCAACCUAUUCACACCACAUCAUUCAAACGUGUCUACAACUUCUCAAUCUUAUAGUGUUAACGAUAGAAAAAAAUUAAUCUCAUUUAUUUAACUUUAAACCAUCUGAAUAAGGAAACAGGUGUAUAAGCGCUUCUGUCAAAUAAUUUUAAUUAUUUAAAAUAUCAAGCACAUUUUAUAUUCACUAAACUUUAUAAAUUUAUAUUUUCAUGUUUUAAAGUUAUUUACUCAACCAAUAGUCAACACCCACGAUAUUAUUCUAUUCAUAUUCAUACGAUCCACCGAAUUAAGGAGACAUUUUUUGUCUGAUUAAUUUUGAUGUACCCAAACUAUGCUUUCAACAUUGGGUUUCGAGAAAUGCGUUUGGAAAUAUAUUAUUACAUUACAAUUUGGACGCAAUAUUAACACGUAUCGUGUUUAAUUUUAAAAAAUAUUUGAAUUUAUGAUAAUUUAUAGUAAUAAUUUUAACAAAGGAAAAAAUAUAUUAAUUUUUUAAAAACUUAAAUUUAUUGUAUAAAUUUUUAUUAUAAUUAAAAAAAAUCAUUUUAAAUAUAUUUAUACACAUAAAUAUUUAUUAAGAUUUAUAUGCUUACGUAUUGAGAUAUUUAGAAGAGUGAGUUAGAAAUAGGUACUAAAAAAUAGAAAUAAAAUGAAUCCUUGAAAGAAACACCAACCUGUAAUCCGUUGCGGAAGGAAAGAGAAGGCUAAACGGCGGGAAAAAAGAGUAAAAGCGGCGAAAAGGAAACAAAAACUACCAAACCAAAAGCAACCAAACUCUCUCAUCUCAUCUUUAAAUUAUUUUUAAUUUCAACAGCCAAAAGCAUAACAACAACAAAAGCAAACCAAAGCAAAGCGCAAUAAUCACUUUCUCGUUUUUAUUUUUCUUCUCUUUUUUUUUUUUAGAUUUCUUCUCUCAAAAGAGAGAAACCGAAAACUAGAACAGAAAUAGCGAAUGAAAUCGAGAUUCUACAAGAAACAGUGUUUCAGUGUUAGCUCGUAACUAGAUCUGCGUCCUCUGUCAUUGUUCUGAUUUCUUCUUCUUCUCUCUCAGGUAUCUGCAUUUCUCCAUUGCUUAGAUUCCUCGUUUUUGCAUUCCGUUUCUCAGUUCCAGUUACAACUUGCAAGCCUUCAAUUACUUCUUUCAGGAUUCAAUAGUUUUUUCUAUGUGCAUGAUAAUGUGAAUGUUGCCGCUCAAGAAUAGAAAACACUGUUUCUCGCUCUGUUUUUGUCACAAUUUUGUGGCUGUGUUUUUGCUGGAUCACGUUUAUGUCAUUGAUGUUCAUUUUCUUCGAUCUUCUAUCUCGUAUAAUUUGUAGGCAUUUCCUUUCCGUGUAGAAUCUGCAGAAUGCUUAUGCGUGAUCGUUGGUUUUGGUGUUUGUUAGAAAUUUAGGAAAGAAAAUUGAACCAAGUUUAGACGCUUACUUCGAGGUAAAGGAAAAACGAAUCACUGCAGUGCACUCAACUGCUUCAAAUAAUUAAAAAAUAAAACUCUAGCACUGAUAAUUGAGUUUUUUUUAAAAAAAAGUUUUAAUUUCUCAUCCUGAUAUUUUAAUUUUUUUUAAAUACUUAUUGUGUUUUUGGUGUGUUUUAAGAUAUACGUUUGCUUCUUUAGAGGAUAUUCUUAUAGUGCGUUUUUGUUGAGAAGAUAACUAGGACAUUGAAGUCGGUUUUGAGUUAUUAAUUCAGGUUGAUGCGUUUUUUUUACGUAACGCAAUCUCGUCAUGCUCAUUAUUUAGGCAAGUGCUUGUUAUUGGGCCAUCCAGUUUAGUAGUAUGCUUAGUAUUAUUUUCAGGGGUGGAGAGAGAGUUAUCACUACUGUUGUUCACUUUAUUAUUGAUAGAUAUAGAGAGAUGAGAAAUUAUAGUGCAAGAUAUUUGGGAUACGAUUUAAACUGUCGGAAUUAGAAUUUAUUUUCCGAUGAUUGGUAGGUAAUUGUUGGCCGAAAAAUGGAAUGACAGGCAGGACAAGUGAAAUCAAAUGACUAUCACUAUUCACUGCCAAAGAGAAAAAACAAAACCAUAAGUUAAACCGAGAAAGCUGCCCAAACCUCUCUCAAGAUUUAAGUUGUUGUUCUAUUAUUUCAUUUAAGGAUCAGUUAAAAUAGUAAUGGAGCUCCAAUGACAAAGAUGAGUCUUUUUCUGAAAAAUAAUACAGUACAGGGAAUGGAAUAGAAGAUCGUAAAGGAGACUCCCAUUUCUUCUGUGACCCAUUCAUGUUCUGGGUAGCAAUUUUGUGUAGAAGAGAUGGAAGCUGGGGGAAGCAACAGUGGUAACGAGAGGCGUAUCAUAUCCAAGGAUUCUUCAUGGUUUAGUCAAUUCAGAAAUGCAUCCAAUCCAUGGAUGGCAAGAUAUGUCUAUGCGUUGGUUUUUCUUGUGUCAAAUCUUUUAGCAUGGGCUGCCCGGGACUAUGGUCGUGGUGCUUUAACAGAAAUGAAGAGUAAGAUUUCUUAAAUCCUCAAAGUGAUAGAAUUUUCACAUCCAUAACAUUUAGUUUUUCUAAUGCUUCUUUUAGAUCCAGGGCUUAUUUUUAAAUUUUCUAUUUAUUUUAUAUAAAUUGAAAUAGUUUUCUUUUUAAUAAUGCCUAUUGGUUCCCUUAAGAUUCACCAUUUUAACCUGCAAACUCUGAAUGCAUGCAUUAUUUUAUAAACAUCCAUAACAUGUAAUGAAAAAUAUUCAGAAAUGCACAAUGUUUUUUUUUAUGGGCACAGAAAUAUACAAUGUACUUUGCUAAUACUCAAUAUGUUAUAGGAUCAAAGUGAGAUAAGCAAGCAUUAAUAAAUUCAGAACAGAAAAAAAGACUUAUUUAUCUUUUUAUCUUAGUAAUUAAAUAUUAGCAAAUCACUCAAUUUAGUCGAGAGAAAUUGUUGAGCACACACCUCGUGUACACUUUGAGGACGAUUGAGACCAUUUUUCCCCAUCUAAAGCUGUUUCCGUUUAAACAUAUUAUUUUCAUUUUCAUGUGAUGGCUUAAAAUCUAAUAUAUUGAACCUACAGGAUUAAAAGGAUGCAAUGGUGGGAAAGACUGUUUGGAUGCUGAAGGUGUUUUACGAGUGAGCUUAGGUUGCUUUGUAUCCUUUCCAAUUAUACGCAUGAACAUGUUUGGUAAAGGCUUUGUAGAAAAGAAAUGGGUAGUAAUUUGAUUAAUCAAUGGUUUAUGUUUGUUUAUGCUGGGUGGAAAAAAGUAAACUAGAAAAUUGAUGAAUUGACACAGACUUAUGUCAUAACUAUGUAACUUAACCUUAGGCCAACGAAGUAGUCCUUUACUAUUUGAAUGAAUCUUAUCCCGAGUUCAGAUAUUUUUUAUCAUAAUGUUUUUGUCAACUGCUCGCACUUCUAAACUGAACAAUGUGAGAGAUACAUGGCACUCUGGAUGGUGGUCAGUCAAGAUUGCUCUCUGGGUCGUCAUGACUAUCAUCCCAUUUUUACUCCCUUCUGAAUUUAUUCAGAUUUACGGUUAGUGAGUUGUAUUUCUAUCAAGCCUCCUAGAAUUAGUUCAUUCUCUGAAACAUCAAAAUGUAGUUAUUAUAAGCUUGUCAUUCCUCUCAUACAAUUCUUUUGGCAGGGGAGGUGGCUCAUUUUGGUGCAGGGUACAUUUUUAACCUCUUAAAAAUAAUGUAGUCAUGCCAUUCUUUUUAAACUCAUCUUUGAAUAUUCAAAAUAUUGCUGUAUUAUUUUUUCAGGGUUUUCCUUCUUAUCCAACUAAUAAGCAUUAUCAGCUUCAUUACAUGGCUGAAUGAUUUCUGCGAGUCAGAAAAGUUUGCAGCAAGAUGGUAAGAUUUUAUCAGUUAAAGAGAAACGCAUGCUUUCCUGAGUACGAACAAUAGGCGUGAGAAAACUGUAGCUAUAUAACUUUCCGUACCUUUUUUUUUGUUUAACGCUUCAGCAAGGCAUGCGCAGUAGUUUUCGGAUGUUGAAUAAUUGAUUAUUGUGCUUAUAUAGAGACAACAAGAAAAAGAAAAUCUUGAUUUUCUAAAUCCUUAUCAACUUUUAAUUAGCAUUAAGGAACCCAAGAGUCUAGAGUGGGAUAACCAGUUAUUGUUUGAUCGAUUGUGUUCUAGCAUAUCCAGUUACCUUAGCAAUUUAGCAACGAGCUCUCUUGUGUAGCCAGAAGUUGGGCAACAAAUCGAAAAUUGUGCUUGGGCAAUUUAUCCUCAUUCGACUUACAAACAAGUUGAUUACUUUAUUUAAAAUAAUAUCAGGGAUAAGAUUCCAUAUUCCGUAAAUGUUUGUGUGCAUUAAUCAUCAAUUAUCAUGCAGCCGAAUCCAUGUGAUGUUGUUUGCAACGACUGCAUAUGUUGUCUGUUUGAUGGGGAUCAUUUUGAUGUACAUUUGGUAUGCACCAAAGCCAUCUUGCCUCCUCAACAUUUUCUUCAUUAGCUGGACCCUAGUACUUCUCCAACUUAUGACAAGUGUGUCUCUGCACCCAAAAGUAAGAUUUUCCUUGCUCAAUUCACUUCAUCAUACAAUAUUUGAUGUGGAAUUUCUAACUACUUCUGCAAUAGGUUGAUGCUGGCAUUCUAACUCCAGGCCUGAUGGGACUUUACGUUGUCUUCCUUUGUUGGUGCGCGAUUAGAAGGCAAGUCUACCCAUCUUUGCUUGAUAGUUUUGGAUUAGUAUCGAUGUUGCUGUUCAAGCAUUUAGCUUCUAUUGUUUAGUGUACACUAGUAUUAUCUCCCAAAGAAGGCAUGGGAGGAGCAGUAUUAAAAAAGAAAGGCGUCUAAUAUCCAUGCCUUUUAAUUCCUAUUCAUUUAAGCUUAUGCAACCCCUCUUAUCUUCUCGUUUUAUUUCUAUUGGUUUUCAGCUUUAGAAUAUUUUUGUAUGCAGUGAACCUGCAGGAGGAAACUGCAUCAGGAAGUCUGACUCUGCAACAAAAACAGACUGGCUAAGCAUCAUUGUAAAUAUGUUUCUACUUCUAUUAUUUUUUUUAGGGUAAUAUAUAGCCAUGCUUGCUUCAUUGAAAUUUGAAUAGUCAAAUGAGUUAGAAUAUAUCUUUAAUCUAUAAUCUAUAAGUUUUAUCCACAUUUCAUAUAUACAUCUUUCCAUUUAAUUUAAUAAAAGCCAGGAAAAAUUAAUACUAUUCCCAGAAAAUAUUAACCACUGUUUCGUCUAUUAUGAAAAUAUUUAAACUCGUUUAAAGACGAAAUAUUAUCAUAUCUUCUUUUUGAUGCUUGAUAAUUACUUUUUAAACCUCGUAAAUCUAUAACCCCAAUCACUUUUUAAUUAUGGGUUGGUUGACCUAUAUUUCGAUGGCUUUGUCGACAGAGCUUUGUUGUUGCAGUACUAGCAAUCGUUAUUGCGACAUUUUCAACUGGCAUAGACUCCGAAUGCUUCCAGGUUAAUCACAAACUCUAAGUUUACCUUGAUUUUUUAACAUUAUAUUCUCAAUACACAUCUGACAGAUCCCUGCAGCUCAAGAAGGACAAUACACCACCAGCAGAGGAUGAUGUACCUUAUGGCUAUGGCUUCUUCCAUUUUGUUUUUGCCACAGGAGCAAUGUAUUUUGCUAUGCUAUUGAUUGGGUGGAACACUCAUCAUUCUAUGAGAAAGUAUGGGUCUCCUCUUCUCCUGUAGUUGUUCCAUAUCAUUUUUACCUGCAUCUUUCUGGGUUUUCUUGUUUUUCUUUGUCCCGAGAGAAAAAGUGAAGCGCAAACAAAGGAAUUGAAUUUUAAGUUGAUAAUCGGCAGAUAAUCAUAUUCAUAUCAGAAAUACCAUAGAACCCAACAAAUGUGGUUCGCGUUAAAUUUUAGAGGUUUCUUAUUUGCAUGACGCUGUCAUUCUGGACCUGACACACUUAAAGUUUUAAUUUGAAUCUUCUAAAGUGAGAUAGUGCACUUUAGAAGAUAAAAUGCACUAUAUAACAAAUUGUUUAAAUCUUA
rnacentral:lncRNA from 1 species